ensembl:lncRNA
CUGCUGAAAGAGUGGAGGGAUGGCAACAACAGGUCUGGGCUCGACCCAGAGGGAAUGUUUGAAGCUGAUUCAGGGCACCAAACUGGCACCAUGAAGACGACCGGGGUGUCACAUCCGCUCCUCCUGCUUCCUGGCGGAGCCGGCCCGUCAGCCACAGCGUCGCAAUAUUUAUGCGAAGGGAAGCAGCUUGUCCUCAUUGCUGCUGUGGAGCACAGUAUGUGGAAAAGACGCUGACACCGAGCAUGAAGAGUUGUCGCUGGUACUGCCUGAUUGCCUGGUUGGAGGGUUCAGGUCAUCUCUGAGGCCACAUGUGUUUUUGUGUACGUUCUCCUCUUGCCUCCCGGCGCACACACACCUGUGUCUCAUCAGGCUCCAAUUGCGGGUUGGACACUUAAGGCCGGGAUGCAGACAGUCUCA